rnacentral:rRNA from 1 species
GGCAGGGUCCUAAGGUGUAGCUGGUAACUGGGAUGAAGUCGUAACAAGGUAGCCGUAGGGGAACCUGCGGCUGGAUCACCUCCUUUCUACGGAGAAAUUCG